rnacentral:rRNA from 1 species
UAGCUUGUUGGUGAGGUAAUGGCUCACCAAGGCGACGAUCGGUAGCUGGUCUGAGAGGAUGACCAGCCACACUGGAACUGAGACACGGUCCAGACUCCUACGGGAGGCAGCAGUGGGGAAUAUUGGACAAUGGGGGCAACCCUGAUCCAGCAAUGCCGCGUGUGUGAAGAAGGCCUGAGGGUUGUAAAGCACUUUCAGUGGGGAGGAGGAUUAACAGGUUAAGAGCUGGUUAAUUGGACGUUACCCACAGAAGAAGCACCGGCUAACUCCGUGCCAGCAGCCGCGGUAAUACGGGGGGUGCGAGCGUUAAUCGGAAUUACUGGGCGUAAAGGGUGCGUAGGUGGUUAAUUAAGUUAGAUGCAAAAACCCUGGGCUUAACCUAGGACUGAGAUUUAAUACUGAUUAACUGGAGUAUGGGAGAGGGUAGUGGAAUUUCCGGUGUAGCGGUGAAAUGCGUAGAGAUCGGAAGGAACACCAGUGGCGAAGGCGGCUACCUGGCCUAAUACUGACACUGAGGCACGAAAGCGUGGGGAGCAAACAGGAUUAGAUACCCUGGUAGUCCACGCUGUAAACGAUGUCAACUAGCCGUUGGUCAUAUGAAAAUGAUAAGUGGCGC